rnacentral:lncRNA from 1 species
GGCUUACACAGUAUGGCCGGCGACAUUAGCUAGCGCUCGCUCAACUCUCCUAACGGGAAAGCAGCGGACUACAAGAGACUGAACUGUAUCUGCCUCUAUUUCCAACAGACUCACGUUCAACUUUCGCUCACGAAAAUAGCCGGGAAAAUUUUAUUAGUCCUUUUUUUAAAAAAAAGUUAAUAUAAAAUUAUAGCAAAAAAAAAAAAAGGAACCUGAACUUUAGUAACACAGCUGGAACAAUCCGCAGCGGCGGCAGGAGCGGCGGGAGAAGAGAUUUAAUUUAGUUGAUUUUCUGUGGUUGUUGGUUGUUCGCUAGUCUCACGGUGAUG